rnacentral:rRNA from 1 species
GGGGUUGCCUGCAAGGGCGUAUGGUGGAUGCCUUGGCAGACGGGACCGAUGAAAGACGUGGCGGGCAGCGAUAUGCCUCGGGGAGCCGCCGAGCUGGCUUUGAUCCGAGGGUUUCUGAAUGGGGUGACCCGGCAGCCGUCAUGGGCUGUCACCGCGCCUUUGGGUGCGGGGGGUACGCAGGGAAGUGAAACAUCUCAGUACCUGCAGGAAAGGAUAUUCCGUGAGUAGUGGCGAGCGAAAGCGGACCAGGCCAAACCUUGCGCGUGUGAUACCCGUCGGGGGUUGCGCGUGGGGUGUUGCGGGCCUGUGUGUCCGGUCUCCGACGGGGCCGGGCCGAGUGAUAAAACGACGUGUGAGGCGAGCAGGAUUGAAUGCCUGGCCGUAGAGGGUGAUGGCCCCGUAGCCGUAUGCGUGUCGUCUCGGUAUCACAGUUUGCCCAAGUAGCACGGGCCUCGUGGAAUCCCGUGUGAAUCAGCCCCGACCGUGGGGUGAGCCUAAGUAUUCCCGUCUGACCGAUAGUGUACCAGUACCGUGAGGGAAAGGUGAAAAGCACCCCGGGAGGGGAGUGAAAGAGUUCCUGAAACCGUGCGCCUACGAUCCGUCGGAGCCUUCUUUGUGGGGUGACGGCGUGCCUAUCGAAAAAUGAGUCUGCGAGUCAGUGGCAUGUGGCGUGCAUAAGCCGUGUGGCGUAUGCGUAGCGAAGGCGAGUCCUAAUAAGGCGUUUGUCGCGUGUCCUGGACCCGAAGCGGGAUGAUCUAGCCCUGGGCAGGUUGAAGCGUGGGUAAGACCGCGUGGAGGACCGCACCCACCUGGGUUGAAAACCGGGGGGAUGACCUGGGGCUAGGGGUGAAAGGCCAAUCAAAUUCCGUGAUAGCUGGUUCUCUCCGAAAUGCAUUUAGGUGCAGCGUCGCGUGUCGCCUCCGGGGGGUAGAGCUACCGGAUGCUUGAGGGCCCGUUUCGGGUACCGACAGCAGCCGAACUCCGAAUACCCGUGAGGUGUGGCGCGGCAGUGAGUCGGCGGGGGAUAAGCUCCGUCGUCGAGAGGGAGACAGCCCAGAGCGUCGUCCAAGGUCCCGAAGCGUGUGCUAAGUGGGAAAGGAUGUGGGGCCGCAUAGACAGCCAGGAGGUUGGCUCAGAAGCAGCCAUCCUUGAAAGAGUGCGUAACAGCUCACUGGUCUAGUGGUCCCGCGCCGACAAUGUAGCGGGGCUCAAGCACACCACCGAAGACGCGCCAGCAGGUUUCCUGCUGGGUAGGAGAGCGUCCCCCAUGGGGCGAAGCGGCCGCGUGAGCGUGUCGUGGACCGUGGGGGAGUGAGAAUGCAGACAUGAGUAGCGAGAGACGGGUGAGGAUCCCGUCCGCUGGAUGACCAAGGGUUCCGGGGCCACGUUCGUCGUCCCCGGGUCAGUCGGGUCCUAAGGCGAGGCCGACAGGCGUAGUCGAAUGGAUGAACGGGUUGAUAUUCCCGUACCGGCUGGGGACCGUCAAAGCCGAAGCGCGUGCGCUAACCUCCGCUUCCCGUGGAAGCGCCUUUCGGGGCGUGGACGCGGGUGGUGUUGGGAUCCCGCGUGUGGUAGGCCGACGCAGGAGUGACGCAGUCAGGUAGCCGGCCGCGGAGGUGGUUUUCCGUGGUCAAGCGUGCAGGCCGUCCCGCAGGCAAAUCCGCGGGGCAUAUGGCCGAGGCGUGAUGAUGGGCCUCUUUUUGGGGCGAAUCCGGUGAUCCCUUCUGCCGAGAAAAGCUUCGGCGCCAGGGCCCUAUGCCGCCCGUACCCGAAACCGACACUGGUGGUCUGGUAGAGUAUACCAAGGCGAUCGAGCGAAUCCUGGUCAAGGAACUCGGCAAACCACUCCCGUGCCUUCGGUAUAAGGGAGACCCCUUGGGGUGAUGCGCCUCGCGCGUUGAGCCCCGGGGGGUGGCACAGGCCAGGGGGUAGCGACUGUUUACCAAAAACACAGGUGCAUGCGAAGGCGCAAGCCGCUGUAUAUGCACUGACGCCUGCCCGGUGCCGGAAGGUUAAGAGGAUCCGUCAGCCCCUUCGGGGGUGAAGCGGUGAAUUCAAGCCCCGGUAAACGGCGGUGGUAACUAUAACCAUCCUAAGGUAGCGAAAUUCCUUGUCGGGCAAGUUCCGACCUGCACGAAUGGCGUAACGACUUCCCCGCUGUCUCGACCAGGAGCUCGGCGAAAUUGCAGUACGAGUAAAGAUGCUCGUUAAGCGCAGAAGGACGAAAAGACCCCGGGACCUUUACUAUACCUUGGUAUUGUCGUCAGGUCUGGAUUGUGUAGCAUAGGCGGGAGGCUGUGAGCCGCGGGCGCCAGCCCGCGGGGAGCCGGAAGGUGAAAUACCGCUCUGUCCACACCUGGCGUCUAACCUCGAAGAGUCAUCCUCUUCAGGGACAGUGCCUGGCGGGUAGUUCAACUGGGGCGGUUGCCUCCCAAAGAGUAACGGAGGCGCUCAAAGGUCCCCUCAGCCCGGUUGGCAACCGGGUGUCGAGUGCAAUCGCACAAGGGGGCUUGACUGCGAGACCGGCGGGUCGAGCAGGGACGAAAGUCGGAGAUAGUGAUCCGGUGCCGGCGCACGGGCGCGGCAUCGCUCAACGGAUAAAAGGUACCCCGGGGAUAACAGGCUGAUCAUUCCCAAGAGUCCAUAUCGACGGGAUGGUUUGGCACCUCGAUGUCGGCUCGUCGCAUCCUGGGGCUGGAGCAGGUCCCAAGGGUUCGGCUGUUCGCCGAUCAAAGCGGCACGCGAGCUGGGUUCAGAACGUCGUGAGACAGUUUGGUCUCUAUCCUCUGCGCUCGUUGGAAUCCUGAGGAGGCCUGCCCAUAGUACGAGAGGACCUGGGUGGACGAACCUCUGGUAUGCCGGUCGUCACGCCAGUGGCGCGGCCGGUUGGCUACGUUCGGGAGGGAUAACCGCUGAAAGCAUCUAAGCGGGAAGCCUGCUCCGAGAUCAGGAUUCCGUGACCCCUUUCGGGGGGUCUGGAGACUCCAUGGAGAACACGUGGUUGAUAGGCCGGACGUGGAAGCCCCGCGAGGGGUGGAGCCGACCGGUACUAACAGUCGAACGGCAACACACACAC